GAAGGUAUAGCUCAGGUGGUAGAGCACAUGCUUAGCAUGCAUAAGGUCCUGGGUUCAAACCCCAGUACCUCUU
rnacentral:tRNA from 1 species